GAAUCAUUUGUCUUUCCCACUUUACACAGUUCCAGGAUGCUUCAAUGCUUCAUAAGCCCCCACAGGAUGGAACUGAUCAUUCCAAGGGAGAAAACUCAAGCAUACACCCCCUUCUCCAUCCCUUGAACCCUGUUUCUCAAUCUCUGCACGUCAAUGGCACAUCACUGGUUUCUGAGCCCCACAAGAUGAUGAGAACCUAUAGAUUGCUUCCAGGCUAAUAUGGUUUGAUCAAGAAAGACCCCCUGGGAGGUCUCCAGAUAUUCCAACAUCCAGAUCAGCUUCAAGGCCUUGAGAUGAACAACCCUCUCUCCCACCCCUCUCCAGCUGCCAAGACUUUCUGUCCACACAUAUGGGACCAGGC